AAGCAUUUAAUGAAGUUUUGCAACAGUCUCCAUGGUGGGCUGAACAAGCUUGCGGAAUUAUUAGAAGUUGAGAGGAUUGGAGUUUGUCAUCAAGCAGGAUCAGAUAGUCUGCUUACUGCCUGUACUUUUAGGAAGUUAAGGAAUACUUUUUUCAAUGGAUCUAUACAGAAAUACGCAGGUGUUUUGUAUGGUCUCGGUGUUGACAAUGGACAGCGUACUAAUUGAAGAGAAUUACAAAGUAUUUGUAGAAGUGUGAG
rnacentral:misc_RNA from 1 species